rnacentral:rRNA from 1 species
UACGGAGGAUGCGAGCGUUAUCCGGAUUUAUUGGGUUUAAAGGGUGCGUAGGCGGACUGUCAAGUCAGCGGUAAAAUUGAGAGGCUCAACCUCUUCCCGCCGUUGAAACUGGUGGUCUUAGUGGAUGAGAAGUACGUGGAAUGCGUGGUGUAGCGGUGAAAUGCAUAGAUAUCACGCAGAACCCCGAUUGCGAAGGCAGCAUGCCGGCUUCCUACUGACGCUGAAGCACGAAAGCGUGGGGAUCGAACAGG